UGGGAUCAAACAAGUGGUGUCAACCCGCGGUACUGUGUUAUCGUAAUGCUGGUAAACAUUUAUUUCAUUUGCUGAUUGCGAUGGUUGGUGCUGUACGUGAGAUCAAAUGAUACAGAAUGCGUGAAAACAUUCUACGAAAAAAACCGUGAAACACUGUCCCUUCCUUACGUUUCCCUUAUAUCAUGAUACUGUACAUCUCUGCACAGAAGACAACUACUGGAUAAAUCUCGACCAUUGAUGCCGACAAUAAUUUGAACAGUAGACAACCGACCAUUGCAUUCACCGAAAAGAUCAGGCGUGGUGCAUUAACGGAAGGUUUGACUAUGCGGCACAUGCGGCUUUCCGUAGUCGGAAGCGUACGGUGUACACGAAAAAUGGAAAAGUUUUCCCGAUUCAUGUUCUAUCUUACACUCCAACAUGAAAGGAUGUGUUCCUGCAUAAACCAGCAAGCGGUACCUGAGAUGAAUUGCCAAAGAAAUCCUUUUUCGAUCGGCAGUAUAUGGAACCGUAUUUUGAAUACUCGGAGAAGAUUUUCCCACUAGCCAUACCGCGCACGAUAAAAAAAUUAUUUUGAAGCUGGUUGAGGACUACAUUUACGUUGCUGCGGGGACACAUCCGAUAUGAGAUUCGACAUUGAUCGUUUUACACGAAGGAUGAUCGAUUUCGAAUCUCUUGUGUUUUUUUCGUUGGUGAUGUGAACAUUGUCUUGGCACGUGAUUGUCGUGGACAGCUUUAGCAACGUAGCUUUGUAUGUUUACACGACCAGUGUAUUUUUUGCGAAAGAUAAACGCGACGGGAUUUUGGAAAUCCGACCAGUUCACCUGUCAAUUUUAAAUAAACAAACAAUGGAAUAAGCGUUAGAUACAAGCAAAAUAUAUUAUAAUUUGUUUUAUUCACGA